UACGAAGGGGGCUAGCGUUGCUCGGAAUCACUGGGCGUAAAGGGUGCGUAGGCGGGUCUUUAAGUCAGGGGUGAAAUCCUGGAGCUCAACUCCAGAACUGCCCUUUGAUACUGGCGAUCUCGAGUCCGGGAGAGGUGAGUGGAACUGCGAGUGUAGAGGUGAAAUUCGUAGAUAUUCGCAAGACACCAGUGGCGAAGGCGGCUCACUGGCCCGGUACUGACGCUGAGGCGCGAAAGCGUGGG
rnacentral:rRNA from 1 species